rnacentral:rRNA from 1 species
UACGUAGGGUGCAAGCGUUGUCCGGAAUUACUGGGCGUAAAGCGUGCGCAGGCGGUUCGUUGUGUCGGUGGUGAAAGCCCCGGGCUUAACCUGGGAAUGGCCAUGGAAACUGGCGAACUGGAGUGUGGCAGAGGGGGGUGGAAUUCCGCGUGUAGCAGUGAAAUGCGUAGAGAUGCGGAGGAACACCGAUGGCGAAGGCAGCCCCCUGGGUCAAGACUGACGCUCAUGCACGAAAGCGUGGGGAGCAAACAGG